rnacentral:rRNA from 1 species
UGGGGAAUCUUGGACAAUGGGGGCAACCCUGAUCCAGCCAUGCCGCGUGAGUGAUGAAGGCCUUAGGGUCGUAAAGCUCUUUCGCCUGUGAAGAUAAUGACGGUAGCAGGUAAAGAAACCCCGGCUAACUCCGUGCCAGCAGCCGCGGUAAUACGGAGGGGGUUAGCGUUGUUCGGAAUUACUGGGCGUAAAGCGCACGUAGGCGGACCAGAAAGUUGGGGGUGAAAUCCCGGGGGCUCAACCCCGGAACUGCCUCCAAAACUAUUGGUCUAGAGUUCGAGAGAGGUGAGUGGAAUUCCAAGUGUAGAGGUGAAAUUCGUAGAUAUUUGGAGGAACACCAGUGGCGAAGGCGGCUCACUGGCUCGAUACUGACGCUGAGGUGCGAAAGUGUGGGGAGCAAAACAGGAUUAGAUACCCUGGUAGUCCACACCGUAAAACGAUGGAAUGCCAGUCGUCGGGUAGCAUGCUAUUCGGUGACACACCUAACGGAUU